AACACGGGUGGACAGUCAUUCAGAACACCUCGCGCCUUUCAUCAAACACAACGAAUCAGCCAAUGCGUUCCAAGUAGGUGUAAAGUUCCACUUGAUGACGUCAAAUGAUUAACAAAAUGAUAGCAUAUCACGUGACACAGUUAACUCCAUUUUUACAUUAGUGCGUAACGAAACAUCGACGCAAUUGCAAUCAACAUUAAACCAAUGUAGGCCAUCCCGGAAGUUACGUAGUACAGCUAUUUUAAGAGUGCUGAGAAUUGCCAUAAACUACUUUCGUUACUGAAGGGAAGUUCUACACAGGGAAGAACAUGUUUGAAUGAAUUUAAUGACAUUAAAACUGGCAAUGGAAGAGAAUAAUGAAGCCAUUUUGGCCCACAAUGCGUUGGCAGAGUAUCUGCGCAGUCAGCUUGUGGAAGAAGAUUUUAAAAGGUUAAAAAAUUUAUUUCGAGAUGUUCCACUUCAGCCAAGAGAAAUGCAGGAAAUUGGAGAUAUGACCGAAUUAUUCAACAAACUUCAAACCUAUGAGAAAAUAUCAGUGGGAGAUUAUGAAUAUUUAACACAAAGACUGCAAUAUGUUAAUCCGAGGCUUGCUUCUGACUUGGAAACUAGAGAAGCAGAAAUUAGACAAAUGCUGAAUAUAGAAUAAUGAACUGAUAUACACUCAGUAAAUUUCAGAUAAGUUCAGUACAGUCAUUUCUUGUCACUAAAAUACAGAUAAAUUUCACCAUGGCAUUAUUCUAUCCGGCACACCAGAGGACAUAAUACAGUUCAACCGCAUACUAUCGUAAUUAUUCCAAGCACAACUUCUCUUCUGAAAUGAGUGAAAAAAGAUAAUUUGGCAGCAAACAGAAAAAGUCGGAGCAAUUAAUGGGAACACUUGACAAACUCAGUUGUGACAAACUCAAAAACAAGUAAAAGAUCAUGAGGAGCUACCAGAAAUAAAAAGAAAUGAUAUUGUACAUGUAGGACAGUGUUAUCAGUAGUGUAUGCGAACAUUCCCACCUUCAUGGGCGAAGUGGAUUGUCGGUUGGUCCCAUCACCGAAGCUUCCGAUAUUUACAAAUAAUUCAAAUCAUUAAAGGACACACUCAUUUAAGUCAUACUACUCAAAUGACCUUCGUGUGUUCGACUCCACAAAAGGGUCCCUUAAGAACGUCACGUUCCCCUUCAUAUCUUGACUGAAUACAAGAUGUAGGUAUAUUGUGGAUGACUUUUCCGUAUCGGAUGCUCAUAUCGAAUAACAUACAUUUGUAUCGAGCACUGCGUGGCGACAGUACAACUACAUAAAUCUCAGGUUUGCUUCAUCCUUGUACAUGUUUUCUGUAUACACAUACACGUAUAUGUUGUUUACUCUCUCCAUUGAAGCAUUCGUGAAUAAAUCAAUAGUUCAUUUUUCCUUU